UUCAGUGAAUGUAUAUCGGGAUAAUGGAUCGUAUAUCCAAAUGCUUUUGGAAGAUAGCUAGCAGUGGUGCGAAGUGGCCCACCGAGCCAGACGAGCAGAGUUGCCUUCGACGCUUAUUUGAUUCAGCCAUUUGAGAGAUUGAGCAUCAGUGACUACUCGGAAUCGCGUCCCCUCAACAAAGUGACGGAAUUUCUCUAUCGCGAGUAUCACUGCAAGGCAUUCGCGCUCCGUUGCAGAAUACUUCAUUUGUGUGGAGGAAAAUUUGCGCGAGAAAAACGCAAUGGGCCGGCGAACCCCUUCAUGGUAUUGGAUUAAUACAGCUCCUGCGGCAACGGCGGAUGCGUCAGACUCAAUGACAAAUUGUUGGCUAAAAUCUGGAUUAGCGAGAACGGGUGGUGAAGCUGGCCUGAUUCCACGGAUUAAUACGACCGGAACUAUACUUCAUCACAAAAUUAACGAAUCCAAAACCUAUCCUAAUCAGAAUUCACUCGUGAGUACCUUAUUUCAAUUAUACCCUAAUUAAGUUUCAUGAAUAAUCUAAAUCGAGCGCAAAUUCAAAAUAACUAAUUCAAAUUCAAUUAAAAAAUCCUAUAAUUUAUUCGCACGCCCUAAUUUUUUUUAAAUGUCCCACGUUGGGCGCCAAAAUGUAACGGGGA